AUACGUAGGGAGCGAGCGUUGUCCGGAAUUACUGGGUGUAAAGGGAGCGUAGGCGGGAGUGCAAGUCAGAUGUGAAAUACAUGGGCUCAACCCAUGGGCUGCAUUUGAAACUGCAUUUCUUGAGUGAAGUAGAGGUAAGCGGAAUUCCUGGUGUAGCGGUGAAAUGCGUAGAUAUCAGGAGGAACACCGGUGGCGAAGGCGGCUUACUGGGCUUUUACUGACGCUGAGGCUCGAAAGCGUGGGGAGCAAACAGGAUUAGAUACCCUGGUAGUCCACGCUGUAACGAUGAUUACUAGGUGUGGGGGGACUGACCCCUUCCGUGCCGCAGUUAACACAAUAAGUAAUCCACCUGGGGAGUACGGCCGCAAGGUUGAAACUCAAAUGAAUUGACGGGG
rnacentral:rRNA from 1 species